GGCUGCUGCCAGUGGUCAAAGCCUCCAACAAAGCUCUACUGAGUGGAUGUAACCUCUUAAAGAGAAGUUGUGAAGCUCUGCCCCCACUGCUUAACUUCCAGUCCUCUACUCUGACAGAACUGGACCUGAGUAACAAUGACGUUGAGGAUUCAGGAUUGAAGCUUUUCUCUGCAGGACUGGGAAGUUCUCAUUGUAGACUGGAAAUUCUCAGUCUGUCAGGCUGUCUGAUCACAGAGGAAGGCUGCACUUCUCUGGCCUCAGC